rnacentral:lncRNA from 1 species
AAUCAACUAUUGGUAGUCUGAGGGACCCUAUCACAUCAUUCUGGCAGUAAAAAUCGGUUUCUGCAUCUUCUUCCUCCACCCUCUUCCAUCUAUAGACAUGCAUAAUUGAUAAAGUUUAACAAAACUGAUCUUGGAAAUUGCCAUUCUACCUACUAACAGGUGAGGUGUGGAGAGGUGGAAAACACAACUUCCGGAGUUAGUUAAACUUACGAGUUCUAUAAGAACACUACACUUCAAAGCCAGAAAAUUCAAGGACUCCUAGGAUUUGUCUCAGUGUUAUUCCUAAAUCUUAUUACAUAUAUGAAAUUCUCACGUUGAACCAACAAAAUCGUACUUCAACUCUUAAGAAAACAGUUCUAAGAAACAAUGAACUUAAAACUAACUAGAAUUCUUUCUGCAAACCAGUUCCUGUACCCUACUCUUUCUCUGUGUCUUAAUCCAAGCCUUGGUUGUGGAUAUAAUGUGAAUAUAAUAAUUUUUUUCUUCUCAGGAUGUCAGUAUCAACACACCGAAGUCAUCAUUUAGAUCCUACUGAAUGGCUUAAUAAUACUUCACAUUAGAUUUUAAAACCUAGUGACUAAUAAAAUGUUGUAACUGCCUGUAAGCUUGGAUUAUAAACAUGAUUGUCUUUUUACUAUACCUUGUAUUUUUGAUUCACAGAUGCAGAUCACAGUAAAAGACAAGGAAUAACCUAAGAUUACAAAUUAAAGUAUUAUUCACACUUUAAUUUCACGUCUACUUUUACUUAUGAAGGGAUAUCAUAAAGCUAGAAACAUAAUAUAUAGGGUUUAGGGUUUUUUUUUUUUUUUUUUUUUGCAUUCAACAAAAUGUAAAAUGUUCACGUGAACCGAUAGACUAGACUACCAAAAUAUAUAAAAUAGACAUGAACAGUCUAAAAAUGUGUUUAUUUUUAGUUUUAUACAUUUCAGAAAGUGAUAACUAACAUUUCAAAAGUUUAUAUAUCAUGUCCUUUCAGGAUCAUUUUGAAAGGCCAAGAUGACACCCUCAUCCCCUGGACACACACACCUUAUAAUGGCUGAUGGUUUGUGAAGCAGUGAUUGGGCUAGUUCAGACAUUCUGUAAUCCUAUCUAACGCCGUUUGCCUAUUUAUAUAGCAAAGACUCUUAUACAGAACAUCUUAGACUGUCUCCCUUCCGGCAAGAGUCUUUGCUGGGGUUGUUUUCCAUAAUCUUUGCUAGGUGAGGUUUUAGUUUGUUCUGUAGCACCAACACUCUAUGAAUUUAAACCCAGACCAGGGGUCAACUUGUCAAUAAUGACUCCAUCUUCAUGUCCUGUGAAUUGACAGUGUCCCUUAAUCAGUCACACAGAACCUGCCUUAUAAAGCUGUUAGUGUCACGGGCAGACACUGCAACCUUUUGUCAAGCCCUGUGAUUAUUAAAGUGUUCUUCCUUCAGAUCCAGGCCAAGAGGCCUCCUGGGCUUUGUCUCAGAGGUGAAGCAAACUCUCAAGCCCCACUCUUGUGCUGUCUGUCUGUCUGUCUGCAGUUGUCUGUCUCACGUGUACAUUGAACUGAUACUCUCGGGCACCUUUACAGAUACACACUAGGCAUGGUUUUGUCUACGUACACAGCCACAAACCUAAGAGCUUAUGGCAUCAUUUCAACUUAAAGAGUUGAUAGAUGUAUACUGUAUUCCAAAUCAUGUCUCUGAUUGCCAAGGGACCAGAACUGCCACUGCCCUGUCCACUAGGAAAUGCCUUUCUGUUUUGCUUUUGAGUGGCCAAACUUAAACUUAUCUUUUCAGAGUUGCCCUUCCAUGUUGUUAAUUGGAGAAUUUGUUUAGUCGGGAAAACUUUUGAAAAAAUAUGCAUGGGUUGGCCAAGAAAAUAUUUCUGUGUUUCUGAUGGCACUAAGUAAUUCUAUUUCCAUUUUCUUCUUACAGAUACAUUUGUGAUCUUUAAGUUCUACUAAGUUUAUGGUUUUCUCAAGGCAGCAUGUGAUCAGUUAGAAAUAGGCAUUAGGAUUCUGGUAAAAACUCUCCAUUCAGCUAAGUGGGGUUGAGUCAUCAGGAAAGAGUGUGGACCCCAUUGCACUUGAGUCUGUUUUCAAACUCAAAACCCUUGUUGUUGCAUUGGAAGCUUGUUUCUCUCUUUUAUGAGCAUUUCAUUAGAAAAGAAAGUGGCCCUGUGUCACAUUACCCCAGUCAAGCAGGAAGUGGUCUCUCAUCCUCUUCAGCAUGCAGCUUUGUCUGUAUAUGGGUUGGUAUGAGUGCCAUACAGACACCAUAUAAAAAUGGACUUGGGUUGCCCUGACUUUGACUGAAGAUUGACAGGCGCUCUUUCUUUAAUUAACCUUGUUCUUUUUCAUGUUCUGUAUUCAGAUACUGAAAUACAGUAUUUUUAUCCAUUUAUCAGAUUGUGUUUGCAUUUAUUUAAUUUAUGUUUCUUUUUUAAAAGCGUGUAGCCUUGAGUGUUUGUUCUCCUUUUUUUCACAUCGUUACUCUGUACUGCUUGAUGUAACUUGAUUAGCUCCCUCCCCAGUCAUGAUUGGUAAUUAAAAUAGGCAUUAAAAUUAGUCACUUAGCAAUUUUGCUGUUCAAUUGGCAAUUAAAUUACUUAAUUGCAAUUAAAGUCCUAAUUUUAAUUGGCAAAAUGAUAGAUGUAGAUUUAAGAUAAUAUGUAUAAAUACUUUAAUAAGUGUCUAUAUAAGGAUUACAUAAUUACUCAACUUCAAGUUUAUGCUGUUAACUUUAGAACUUUUAAGUGAGCAAUGAAAUUUAUAUUACAUCUAUUCAAAGGAUAUGGUAAUUAGAUUUAUUUCUUAUCACUAUAAGGGUCCUUGCUAUAAGUUACUUUUGUAGUGUUCAAAUUGUAAGUUUGAUAAUUGAGAAUUAUGAUGAAGAAAAGGGCAUAUAUGUCUUUGUUGAAUAUAUCAAUACCUUAUUUUCUUUUUCAUUAAAAUAAGAGGUUCUUUACCAAUUAGCUUGAGAGUAAAAAAUAAAAUGUGGUUAUUUUCUUAUUAAAAGUAGAACAAAAACUGGCUGUCUGAGAUUUACAUAGAACUAUUGGAAAACAUAUAUAUUUUCUGUGUUUAAAGAAUAUAUUUUAUCUGUUUAAAGAAUUUUAUCUAAUACUGUUAGAAUAACUAAUGUCAUUGGCUGUUGAUAGAAUUUCAGAUGCCUUUUAUAAUAGCAUAUAACUUUGUUUUCAGAAUUUUAAAUGUGUUUUAAUAUCUCCAAUGCUUACUGAAAUGAGCAAAUAAAUUCUAAAACCAAAAGUAUUCUUCUUUUUAAUAAAAAAGAAUUUUUUCAUAAGAAAAAUAUUAAGUCAUCUUUAUAAAAGCAAGUAUUAGGAGAGGGCCACUGUAAGCCAAGUAUUAAGGAAAAAAAAAACCCAAAGAUUUUUAUUAUGUAAAAUAGUUUUUGAGUGGCAUGAGGCUUUACCAUAUGUUCAGUUUUAUGAUUUUAAUUUAUAAGUAGAAGCUUCUAGAAAAAAGUGCUGUUUACUUCGGCACAUCUUUACACAUUUUCUAGAAUUGAGUUCUGAAUUAAAGUAAGACAUUUAAAAAACCCAUGGUCUUGGUGAAAAACAGGCUGGGUAAAACUGAAUAAAAGCUGCCCGUAUCUAUGUGGAUAUCAGAGAAGCUGUUGACUUCUCCAAGUGUCCCGUAGGAAAGGGGCAGUUUGGUUGAUUAAUAGCCCAUGAUUGCAAAUGAAAUGGCAAAAGCAAAACAAUAAAACAUCUUUAAUACUAAUUUCUAUCUUUAGAGAACCAGAUGUUUUAAAGUGAAAAUUCAUUUUUUUUUCUGUCACUUCUGGAAGACUGCUUACCAAAUAACAACAAAGACUGUGAAUGUGGGUUUGUUCAAACAUAAUUUAAAACACAUCUCACUUCAAUGCUUAUAAGUUCCAAUACCUACACAGUAAAAAAAAAUAUAUAUAUCUUGAAGUUGUCUCAACUCUUGCAACACGGCAUAACAGGUAUGUCCAUUUCAUUGUAUUUGCAUUGUGAGACCUCUGAAUUCAUUUGGGGAGAAUUCUGAAAUCAACCCCCCAGAGGCCUCUCCCCCAUGCAUUAAAAUAGAAAAUCCGAUGGGAUUACACUUAUGUUUGCUCUCUAAAUUAUACCAAGAGCUCAGUUUUAUUAAGUAUAAUCUGCUUAGCCAUGCAAAAAAUAAAAUACAUAGGUUUAGAUGUGAGUUUAUUUUCACUUAUACUGAUUUUUAAUGGAAAUAUAUUUUUAUGUACAAGCAGAUAUGUAUGGCUUAGUAUGUGCUAGUAUCAUGAAAAGUAAUAUAACAGCAUUACCUUCAUCAAUGUUUUUUAAGGUCUCAUCAUUAUAUUUAUUAAUAGCAAUAACAUAAUUUACACAAGGGGGACCUACUAUGCAUAGCAUUAAUUCUUUGCUUCCAUUAUUUUAAAUUAUUAAGAAAAUAGACCUUUAUUAAUGGGGAAACUUUACACAUUUAAACGUGGCAAUAAUUUAAAGUUCUAACAGACUCUGAACCCUGAAAAAAACACUAUUGUCAUUUUAAUUGAGUUAUAAAAUACUUUAUUUGAAAUAUUUAUGUGUAAGAAUGCAGAAGAGUUGCAGCCAUAUAAAUGUAGAAUUUCAGUUUCUUUUAGCCUAAAGCAUCGUUUUAACAUUUUCUGAAAGGUUGUUCAAUUCUACAUUUUGAUUCCAUUAUAUGUGUAAUUAAACCUCUAUGCACAAAAGCAUUCUCUUAUGUACUAGCAAAUAUACCCACAGGAAUUCUCUUCUCAACUAUAAUUUAUUUAAACAUGUAAUCAUAGGAUUUUAAAACAUGCUUUCAUUUUUCCAAACUAUAUGCCAAUUUGAACUGCUUUGAGAUAAAAUGAGAGAUUUUAUUACCAUUUUGGUUUUUUUCCCUCUGUGACCUAACAGUGAGUUAAACACGGGCAGGAGGAAAUAAAGAAAAUCCAUUGUAAACCU